AGAAUCAGCCACAAGUUUAAAUCUCAACUUCAUCAUAAAGGAAGUUUUAUGAUCUUGCAACUUUCAAAAAUCGAGGUUGCCAUGUUCUUGAGGCCAACACACAUCCUACCAACCAACCAAAGCCACUUUCUUACCACUAUUCGAGGAUCUUCAAACAAACUAAUGCACCAUACAUUCGAUUUCCUCACAAAGAUCCUUGGA
rnacentral:lncRNA from 1 species